AACGAACGCUGGCGGCAGGCUUAACACAUGCAAGUCGAACGCCCCGCAAGGGGAGUGGCAGACGGGUGAGUAACGCGUGGGAAUCUACCCAGUUCUACGGAACAACUGAGGGAAACUUCAGCUAAUACCGUAUACGCCCUACGGGGGAAAGAUUUAUCGGAAUUGGAUGAGCCCGCGUUGGAUUAGCUAGUUGGUGAGGUAACGGCUCACCAAGGCGACGAUCCAUAGCUGGUCUGAGAGGAUGAUCAGCCACACUGGGACUGAGACACGGCCCAGACUCCUACGGGAGGCAGCAGUGGGGAAUAUUGGACAAUGGGCGCAAGCCUGAUCCAGCCAUGCCGCGUGAGUGAUGAAGGCCUUAGGGUUGUAAAGCUCUUUCAGCGGGGACGAUAAUGACGGUACCCACAGAAGAAGCCCCGGCUAACUUCGUGCCAGCAGCCGCGGUAACAC
rnacentral:rRNA from 1 species